UUUGAAGGUGACUCAAUUAAUAGAGAACAGGGAUUACUUCGAAAAAAUGAAGACAUGGGAUUUCAGAACCACCAGAUUUUCUUACGAUUAUGGGUCCGUGAUGCACUAUCCAGCGAACGCUUUCGCUAAAAACACUGACACUCCGGUUAUUAUACCGUUAAGAGGAAAACCUGCCAUAGGAAACCGGAGAAAUUUCAGCCCGCUGGACCUCAACAGAAUAGGAAAACUUUACUGCAAAUCAGCCAAUUCAACAUUGACUUUACGUUGACAGGAAAUUGACCACCAGCUGUUAUUUUCUACUUAAACGACGUCGUUAUUUGUUGAGUCAAUUUAAAAAAAAAAAAAAAAAAUGUUGCAUUUAACGUUUCAAGAAUGAAUAUGCUAAGCCAAGCCCUUUCAAAAAAUGAACGAAUCGCUCGAUUUUGUGAUGACAAAUAAUAAAGGGAGAAAUUCAGCGUUGGGCGCAAAGCUUCUGUACUGUUCUAAAGGUCGUUGACACGAAUUACUUCUCGCUACACAUAAA